rnacentral:rRNA from 1 species
UACAUGGGGUGCAAACGUUGCUCGGAAUUAUUGGGCGUAAAGCGCGCGUAGGUGGUUACCUAAGUCGGAUGUGAAAGCCCCUCGGCUUAACUGAGGAAGUGCACCCGAAACUGGGUAGCUAGAGUACUAAAGAGGGUCGCGGAAUUCCCGGUGUAGAGGUGAAAUUCGUAGAUAUCGGGAGGAACACCGGUGGCGAAGGCGGCGACCUGGGUAGAUACUGACACUGAGGCGCGAAAAGCGUGGGGGAGCAAACAGG